CCUCCCUCCGCGCUCAGAGCUGCGGCUGGAGGCCGAGCGCGCCCGCGUCGCCCGCCGUCGCCAGUGCGGAGCGUGGGGAGCACUCGGCCGCAGCCCUCGCCUGCCGCGGAGGGUCGCGCCCGGCGCCGCCGGCCAGGCUGCCCUGUGCCCGGGCCUUUCCGUCCUUGGAGCGGAUCGUUGCCCGCCGGGCGCCCGCCCGCAGUGACAGCACCCGCCGGAGCCGAGGCCGCGGCGGCGGCCGUGCCCAUGACCGGGUACCCUCAGGGAAGCAGAGACACCCUGUGCGCCAAGCCUUGACCUGGCGCCCAGCUGGCCCUAUCCAUGGGUGGGCCUGCUCCCUGGACCCCCACGCAGCCCUGCGCCUGAAACCGUGAGCUGCAGAGGUGGCGCCAGAAGAUUGCCAGCACUGCUGCUGGGGACUGAUAGCAUGCCCGCCGCACAGGGCGAGUCUGAACCAGGUAUCUGUGCUUAGCUUCUUCCCCGUCGCCUCUGCCACGCCUCACCCCGGCACUGGGACCUCAGGUAGCCACCUGCCC
rnacentral:lncRNA from 1 species